AAUGAACGUUGGCGGCGUGCUUAACACAUGCAAGUCGAACGAGAAAGUUCCUUCGGGAAUGAGUAAAGUGGCGAACGGGUGCAUAACGCGUGAGAAUCUGCCCUUGAGUGAAGGAUACCCACGAGAAAUCGUGGCUAAUACUGCAUAAGUCCGAGAAAUCGGAGAAAGACGGCCUCUUUGCUGUCGCUGAAGGAUGAGCUUGCGUCCUAUUAGCUAGUUGGUGAGGUAAUGGCUCACCAAGGCGACGAUCGGUAGCUGGUCUGAGAGGAUGAUCAGCCACACUGGGACUGAGACACGGCCCAGACUCCUACGGGAGGCAGCAGUGGGGAAUAUUGGACAAUGGGCGAAAGCCUGAUCCAGCAAUGCCGCGUGAGUGAUGAAGGCCUUAGGGUUGUAAAGCUCUUUCGGGUGGGACGAUGAUGACGGUACCACCAGAAGAAGCCCCGGCUAACUUCGUGCCAGCCGCCGCGGUAA
rnacentral:rRNA from 1 species